rnacentral:rRNA from 1 species
UACGUAGGGGGCAAGCGUUGUCCGGAUUUAUUGGGCGUAAAGAGCGUGUAGGCGGCUGGGUAGGUCUGCUGUGAAAACUCGAGGCUCAACCUCGAGACGUCGGCGGAAACCCUCCAGCUAGAGUCCGGAAGAGGAGAGUGGAAUUCCUGGUGUAGCGGUGAAAUGCGCAGAUAUCAGGAAGAACACCCGUGGCGAAAGCGGCUCUCUGGGACGGUACUGACGCUGAGACGCGAAAGCGUGGGGAGCAAACAGG